UUUGCCCGGAAAGAAAUCCUUGGCUCUUAUACACUCCGGGGAUGACGGUACCAGAAAAAUAAGCCCCGGCUAACUACGUGCCAGCAGCCGCGGUAAUACGUAGGGGGCGAGCGUUAAUCGGAAUUACUGGGCGUAAAGCGCGCGCAGGCGGUUUGGUAAGACCGAUGUGAAAUCCCCGGGCUCAACCUGGGAACUGCAUUGGUGACUGGCAGGCUAAAGUAUGGCAAAGGGGGGUAGAAUUCCACGUGUAGCAGUGAAAUGCGUAGAGAUGUGGAGGAAUACCGAUGGCGAAGGCAGCCCCCUGGGCCAAUACUGACGCUCAUGCACAAAAGCGUGGGGAGCAAACAGGAUUAAAUACCCUGGGAGCCCACGCCCUAAACAAUGUCAACUAGUGGUUGGGGAUUCAUUUCCUUAGGAACCUAACUUACCCGUGAAGUUGACCCCCUGGGG
rnacentral:rRNA from 1 species